AGUAAUAAUUAUUUUGAUAUUAGUAAUAAAAAUAAGAACUACAAUGUAACAACACAAUAUCAGCAGACAAAAAUAAAAUGUAUCUUGAAAAAAGUGGCGAACAAAUGUACGUACAGCAAAAAUUUGUAUAAAUUAAUAUGUUGACAUAAUUUAAAUUUAAUGUGUUAACACGUUGAAUGCCAUGACGGAGAGAAACUGCGAACAAUGAGGUCUCCGGCGACUACUGCGGCAACGUUCUCGCUAGAUGAUGCGCAAGAACUGUUUAUAUAUUACUUUUUUUAAAUAAACAAUAGUUUGUUUCUUUAAAGAUUAUAUAUACUUAUUUUUACAGCAAACAUUAAAAAUAUUUUCAACGCUUUUUUAUUACAACAAUGAUACUAAUAAUUUUCUUUCUACUUUUCAAUUUCCGAACGACGUCACAACUAUGCCCGAAGCUGAGGAAUCGAUUGUUGUACAUUAUUAUAUAAAGGCAAUAACCACGAAGAAGGGGCGGGUCUCCUUCUUUCGAUAGAGAAACAUAUAGCUGCAUUAUCCUACUCUGAUUUUAACAGAAUCCAGGGA